UACGUAGGGUGCGAGCGUUUGUCCGGAAUUAUUGGGCGUAAAGAGCUCGUAGGCGGUGUGUCACGUCGACCGUGAAAACCUGCAGCUUAACUGUGGGCGUGCGGUCGAUACGGGGCAUCACUGGAGUUCGGCAGGGGAGACUGGAAUUCCUGGUGUAGCGGUGAAAUGCGCAGAUAUCAGGAGGAACACCGGUGGCGAAGGCGGGUCUCUGGGCCGAUACUGACGCUGGAGGAGCGAAAGCCGUGGGGAGCAAACGGG
rnacentral:rRNA from 1 species